rnacentral:sRNA from 1 species
CUUUAAAUUCAGCUUGUGACUUUGCACUUCAGGAUUCUGAGUGUUCUCUGUCUUCUUCCUGCAUUGUUUUUCUUAUACCAUACAGGUUUUUCAUUGGCCUUGACUUUUUGUUGUUAACUCAUUCUUCUUUGGGUUUAUCUUCAUUUGUUUCUGCUGAAUAUUAUUUGUUUCAAACUAAAAAUAACAUUCCACAUUUUAAUUGAUGUGCGGACUCUUAAUCUACUUAAAAUGUGGGCUGAAGUUCCAUGAUUCCAGCUGGUCUGGAAUAGGUCAUUUAACUGGAUGUUAAUCCACCUACAUUGUUCCCUAAGUGACAUGUGGGUCCCAUUCUGCUGACAUAUUUGUGGGUCCUGGUAACAACCAUUUGGGUAGAUUUGCUGAUUCCUCUUUUCUCCUUAGUGGAAGAGAAAGCCAAUACCCACCUCCUCUUGGGCAUGUGCUUAGACGCCUGUGCUCGCUACCUUCUGUUCUCCAAGCAGCCGUCACAGGCACAAAGGAUGUAUGAAAAAGCUCUGCAGAUUUCUGAAGAAAUACAAGGAGAAAGACACCCACAGACCAUUGUGCUGAUGAGUGACCUGGCUACUACCCUGGAUGCACAGGGCCGCUUUGAUGAGGCCUAUAUUUAUAUGCAAAGGGCAUCAGAUCUGGCAAGACAGAUAAAUCAUCCUGAGCUACACAUGGUACUCAGUAAUCUAGCUGCAGUUUUGAUGCACAGAGGUAGGUAGCAAUGUAAACUUAACUGACUUGCUUUAAGGGAGAGAUGUCACUGGAUUGAUAAAUUUGUGAAAUGGUAUGUAGGGAGGGCAAGGGCCAACGAAGAAACAUGUGGUUGAAUGGCAGAAAAAGGAGGUAUUGAUUAGGUUGAAGUACUAUUGUGUUCAAUUCACGUAACUUCUACAGACCUGCACUAGCCUGUCGAACCCCAUCAAGCUGGAGAAAACCUUGCAAUGAUAGUACCUUACGUCAGUAGUGCUUUACAGAUUUCUAAAUGUGUUCAGUUACAAUGUGUUUCUCACAGUGUGCUGGUGAAGCUUUAUGACAGGAAGCAUCAUUUUGUCAGACAUUUCUUAGUGUCAGCACACUAUACCGAUCAUUUUCAGAAACCUGGGAUGACAGGUGUAUUACACAUACCACCAUUCAUGAAAUCUUGGGCUCAUCAAAGUCCUCAGGAUAUACUGGAAAGGGCCGUUAGGAAUCCCACAGCAUUCAGUGGAGUUCCAGCCUGUCAGAUGGGGAUGAAAUGAGGCAGCACCAGCUUGUCGCUUCAUAAGCACACAGUAAAUUAGCCCUAUAUCUGCAUUCAUGCUCUCUCUUCAGAAUCACCUUGAAAACAUACACUUUCUUCUUACUGUCCCUUCUCUCUGGGUUAUUUUAGAACGAUAUACACAAGCAAAAGAGAUCUACCAGGAAGCACUGAAGCAAGCAAAGCUGAAAAAAGAUGAAAUUUCUGUACAACACAUCAGGGAGGAGUUGGCUGAGCUGUCAAAGAAAAGUAGACCUUUGACUUAAAUUCUGUCAAGCUCUAAAUCCAUUUUUGUGUAGGGAGAAUAAUGUCUAGUAAUGUGGAAGAAUAGCUAUCAUUCCUGUCUCUGUGGCACCCAGAGCAAUGGCUUAAAUCUGUCGUUUUUGAUAUUCAGGUUUCCUCAAUUUAGCCUUAGUGAAGGAGGGGUUGUAUACACUGCCAUUUUUGUAUUUUAAAGGAAAAAUGACUUUCAUUCCCAACUGAUGAUGACCUUUCAGGAUGUCGUCAAGUGAUGCUUUCAGUUGUAACACGUGACUUGGUGCUGUCCCUGCUGGUCUAAGUAGAACUAUAGAUUAAUAUGGGCCGGUGUUCCUGUGCACUGUGGGUGUGGUGAUUCAGCCUGGCAUUUCUACCAUAAGUUUUUGGUCUGCUGAUUUGCUGCCCUGUCUUCUCUUACUUUAUCAAUACCUGGCAAACUGACCAGAAUUACCUUCCUCAUGGCAAAGGGGGAUUAUGGUGAAUUGUUGUUCUUAUAGUCUGUUUCAUGAAGCACAAGUGGAAUUUAAUACAUAAAGGAGAAAAAUAUCUUAGUUUGCUACCAGCAUCCAGCAUGAAGUUGUAAAGUGGGGAUUAGGCACGUGACAGUAUAGCACCCAUUUGAAUUUAAAUAAAAGUGAACCAUAUUUAUCUGGUUAUAUAAAACUAAAAAUGGGGGUGUUUAUAUAAAACUAAAAACUAAGAAUGAUGUAACCUUUUGUCUGUGUUAUCUGAACACACUCUACUUCCUUUGCAGCCUUAGUCACACAACUGAGUCAUCUCAAGUACUCUUUAAGGACACACAGCCCAGGCUGUUCUGAAUCAGAAUAGGCCCCUACAGGUAUAUUUUAAAACUUUUCGUAAUUCUAAUGUGUACUGCUGGUAUAGCUGAACUACUGACCUGGAUCUUAGUCCUAGCCUUUUUGCUUUUGCAAUUUCAGUAUCUUCAUCUCUAAACUAGGGAAACACUGGGAUUCUUUCUUAGCUGUGGGGGAAGGUAUUUGGUUAGAUGACUUUGAAUGAAUAGACUGCUGUGCUGAAAGAGCUUUAUCACACUGUCUCAAAGUAUGUAAAGAUACAUAGGUGGAUGCUCUUACUGCAGCAGUCAUAUGAAUACAUUUUUAGCCAUUUACCUAAGGAAAAAGACAGUUUUUCUAGGUACCAUGAAGGAAGAUUGACCCUGUUGGUAUGCCUGUGGGGGUGGGAUGUGAGUGGGACUGAUAAACUGAUAUUUUUGGUUUGUAUGUACAUACUGGAAGAAUCUUUUCAUAAUAAAUGAGACUACACAACAAUA